AUGAGCGCGCACCGAGAGCCAUCCUGUUGCUAUAUAAGAUGCACCCCACGGCCAAAGAUCCAUCCAUCCACACUUCACGGCAUCCAUUCCAGAGCAACAGCAGGUUCAGUUUCAGUUUCCAUCUGGUUCGAGUGGUUUUUCGGUCGCUUGCCAAUGGCGGACAUAGCGAUGCUGGUGGCCGACGAGGCGUUCGAGAAGAGGCUGCAGCGAGGGGCGCCCUUCGCCGGCGCCGGCGAGGAGGCGUCCAAAGGACGGGAGAACUUCGGGGCCGUGGCCAAGGUGUGGGGCUCCUGGGCGUCGGGGGUCAAGGUGCGCGUCGCGCUGCUCGUCAAGGCGGACGUCGCCGAGCCGAAGGCACCGGUCGCCAUGGCAGCCUUUGACGGCUUAUUCUCUGCUUAA
rnacentral:rRNA from 1 species